AACCUGSUCAGACGAAGSUGCGSUUCCUAAGGAUCAAUUGGACGRACCGUUCCGSGGUAAGAUGCGCACGGCUGAGUAACACGUGGGAACCCGCCCCCCGGUGGGGGAUAACGCGACGAAAGUUGCGCUAAUCCCGCAUACGUCCUUCGGGGGAAAGCGCAGUGCGCGCCGGGGGAGGGRCCUGCGGCCAUCAGGUCGUUGGUGGGGUAAUGGCCUACCAAGCCGAUGACGGGUAGCUGKUCUGGGAGGAUGACCAGCCAGACUGGGACUGAGACACGGCCCARACUCCUACGGGAGGCAGCAGCAAGGAAUUUUCGGCAAUGGGCGCAAGCCUGACCGAGCAACGCCGCGUGCGGGAURACGGCCUUCGGGUUGUAAACCGCUUUUCGGGGGGACGACCUKACGGUACCCCCGGAAUCAGCCCCGGCUAACUCUGUGCCAGCAGCCGCGGUAAGACAGAGGGGGCGAGCSUUGUCCGGAGUCACUGGGCGUAAAGCGCGCGCAGGCGGCAACCUAAGUGUCGUGUGAAAGCCCCCGGCUCAACCGGGGGAGGCCAUGGCAACUGGGUCGCUCGAGCUGCGGAGAGGCCCCUCGAAUUGCCGGUGUAGCGGUGAAAUGCGUAGAGAUCGGCAGGAAGACCAAGGGAGCAGGGCUGGCGCUGAGCUGAGCCAACUUGGGACAACGAUAAAACUGUAUAAGCCAUCUUAACUCCGCUGUCUU
rnacentral:rRNA from 1 species